GCUCUGACGCUUACAUCCAUCUCACUGAACGUCCUGCUGUUUAUUACAAUAAUAGGUUUGUCUAGAAAAAGUGGAAAACCAUAUCAGAAUGUCAAAGAAAAGCAGUUUGAUGACCUGAAUACAGAAGAGUUCACUGAAGUGGAGUUCUGUCAGUAUGAAUAGCAUUCAUCGAGACCGACGGCGCUUUUAUCUCACAAGCCAAUAACAAAAUGAAGAAAACAAACUUAGGAAGACAAAAGAUGACAUACGGAAACCUACAGAACCAAUAAAAACAUUUACACUCUUAAUCAAAAUGUUUAUAUAUGUUUUUCAACAACUUUAAUAAAAAC